CAUGCUUGAGGGACAGACAGACAGAUCUAUGCACACAUGUGUGACCUGUAACUCUCUUACUAUAGAUCAUGUUUUUAAAUGAUAUAAGAGAGGAAAGACAAGGAAAUGGGAAAACAGGUUUCAGGAUUUCUCAUGAUGUUCUGUAACUGGAUCCUGAUCUAAAGCACACAAGUUGACCGAUACUGCAGAGAGAUAACAUCAUCCAAUGCUCACGACACACCUGCAGUCACAGACACAACGCUGGGGCCCGUUUCUUCAAAAGCUUUCAUUCCAGCACGCUAGCAACAGUCAGAAUUGAUGUGCGUCGGAGUUGACUCAAAAGAACACUAGAAUGAAAGCAGGAUGGGAACUCCACUGGAGUUAGAACAAGCGUUUCUCAGUCGGAUGGAGCUACUGUACAAGUCACGACAUGUGUGAGACGACAUUUCACAGAAAAGCUGGAGCGUUCCCAAUGACUGAAUGCAGCGAGACGGAUGAGGUCACCACAGCGCGCCAGAUCGGAGACAAAACAUUGUGACGGAGAUUAAAAUCCGCCAUCUACAAGGCUGCGGUGAAGCUCUGGAGUCUCAAAAACACACAUAGGAUAAGAGGAAAGCCACCACACCUGCCAGCUGUAAUAUCCUGUUAGAAGGAAAAACUUUCCCCUGUUUCCCUGAAGGCAAGAUCUCAGUCCAGACCCCCAUCCAAGACUCCCAUCAUCACACAAACACAACAUGGGCUUCAGACAAACAACAUUUCCUGUAAACAAGGAGCUGAUCCAAUUUGCGGUGCUGUUGCAGUGAAGGCGGUUAGUGGGUGGUCUGUAUCACUGAUGCAUCAAGACAUUUCAAUGAGACACAAAUGCAUCAGAGAGGAUGGUCCUGUUCCCGUAAACAUGCGGCGGGGAGGCGUCUGUGAUUGCUCACGUCUAAUUUGUGUUUCUCGUUAACCAUUACUCCUGCUCUAUUCCCCUGUCAUACAGAGUACAUCCGGGGGGUUCAAGAGCCUGUCAUCUGUGGGUGAAGCUCACCAAAAUUGUCAAGAACAGCACCCCCAACCGAUCAUCACCGAUCCUCCACCUGAUCGUACAAGGUUAUCCUGGAAGAAAACUUGCUUCCUUCUGCUCCGACAAUGUUCCACAUCUCUGAGGAUUGGUUUUUCCAGCAGGACAAUGCUCCAUGCCACACAGCCAGCUCAAUCAAGGUGUGAAUGGAGGACCACCAGAUCAAGACCCUGUCAUGUCCAGCCCAAUCUCCAGACUUGAACCCCAUUGAAAACCUCUGGAGUGUGAUCAAGAGGAAGAUGGAUGGCCACAAGCCAUCAAACAAAGCCAAGCUGCUUGAAUUUUUGCACCAGGAGUGGCAUAAAGUCACCCAACAGCAAUGUGAAAGACUGGUAGAGAGCAUGCCAAGAUGCAUGAAAGCUGUGAUUGAAAAUCAGGGUUAUUCCACCAAAUAUUGAUUUCUGAACUCUUCCCAAGUUAAAACAUUAGUAUUGUGUUGUUUAAAAAUGAAUAUGAACUUGUUUUCUUUGCAUUAUUCGAGGUCUGAAAACAUGGCAUCUUUUCUGUUAUUUUGAGCAGUUGUCAUUUUCUGCAAAUAAAUGCUCUAAAUGACAUUAUUUUUAUUUGGAAUUUGGGGAGAAAUGUUGUCAGUACUUUAUAGAAUAAAACAAAAAUGUUCAUUUUACUCAAACACACACCUAUAAAUAGUAAAUCCAGAGAAACUGAUAAUUUUGCAGUGGUCUCUUUUUUUUUUUAUUUAUUUUUUAUCCCCUUUUCUCCCCAAUUUGGAAUGCCCAAUUCCCACUACUUAGUAGGUCCUCGUGGUGGUGCGGUUACUCACCUCAGUCCGGGUGGAGGAGGACAAGUCUCAGUUGCCUCCACUUCUGAGACCGUCAAUCCGUGCAUCUUAUCACGUGACUCAUUGUGCAUGACACCGCGGAGACUCACAGCAUGUGGAGGCUCAUGCUACUCUCCACGAUCCACACACAACUUACCACACGCCCCAUUGAGAGCGAGAACCACUAAUCACGACCACGAGGAGGUUACCCCAUGUGACUCUACCCUCCCUAGCAACCGGGCCAAUUUGGUUGCUUAGGAGACCUGGCUGGAGUCACUCAGCACACCCUGGAUUCAAACUCACGACUCCAGGUGCGAUAAUUUGUAGUGGUCUCUUAAUUUUUUCCAGAGCUGUAUAUAUUGUAUUGAUUUGGGGUUAAAUGUGAGCAGGACAUUUUCUUGACAGAUUCCAUGAGAAUCACCCACACCUUUAUUGUCUAAUAAUCUAAAUAAAUGGGAAUCGAGAGAUUCAGUGAUGUGCAGUAUUUCAGUGAGACUCACAAGUGAGAGCGUGUGUGUCUGUAUUUAUCAGUCUGGCUUAGAAGCAGCUGCAGAUUAGAAGAAGUUUAAGUGUGUUUCAUGAGUCACUUUCAUUGUGGCAUCCAGGAAAAUGUUAAAUCCUUAAAUCUGCUUAAGUCACUGAAACAAACAGCCUCGAAUCUCAACUCCAACUCAAUUUUAUUUAUAGAGCACUUUCAAAAACCACACUGGCUACCAAAGUGCUGUACAUGGAGUUAAAAGAAAUAAAAAUCACAUACAUACAGCUUAAGAAUACAACAAGCAUUUAAAACCGGCAAAGACAAGAUAAGAGAAAUUGACGUAGUACAAUUUAUAACGCAAUUAAUUAAAAGCUAGGGAAAAUAAAUACAUUUUUAAGGCCCCCUGGAAAGACACUAGAGACGGAGAUGAUUUCAUGGCCAAAGGAAGCUCGUUCCAAAGUCUAGGGGCUGCCACCGCAAAAGCUCUAUCACCUUGAGUUUUAAGGCGAGAUCGAGGAACCGACAGACACAGCUGAUCACCAGAGCGGAGAGACCUUGAAGGUUGAUGCAAACUUAUAAAAUCAGAGAUGUACUCUGGUGCUAGACCAUGGAGAGCCUUAAAUACAUAUAGCAACACUUUGUACUGGAUUCUGUAUUGGAUCGGUAACCAAUGUAGGGAGAUCAAUACUGGGGUAAUAUGGUCUCUUUUCCUGGUUCCAGUUAAACGUCUAGCAGCUGAAUUCUGGACCAGCUGCAGGCGAGAGAGAGAGGCCUAAUCACACCCAGAUACAAAGCAUUACAAUAGUCCAAACGAGAAGACACAAAGGCAUGCACAACCUUCUCCAAAUCAUCAAAAGAGAGGAUGGACUUCAACUUUGCUAUAGAUCUAAGAUGGAAAAAGCUAUUUUUAACAACGGCAUUUAUUUGCCGAUCAAACUUGAGCUCAGUGUCAAAAAUAACUCCCAGGUUUUUCACAUAGGAAGGGUUUUUUCCCUGGAAGCAAUGACAAGAUGCCAUCUAAAUUUACCCCACAUCCCCUUUGAACAAAAAGAAUAAACUGUUUGCCAACCAACACUUCACAUCGGCCAUGCAUUUAUACAGAGACUCAAAAGAGGGUUGCUUCCCAUGUUUAAUAGGAGAUUCAUGAGCAUGCAGAUGGUAGUGUAUGCCAUGCUUACCAAAAGAUCUUUCCUAAUGGAAGCAUGUAAAGGGAGAAUAAAACAGGUCCCAAGAUGGAGCCCUGAGGAACCCCACAUGUUAAAGGAACAACUGAUGAAGAACAGUUCUCUAAAUACAACAAUAAUAAAGAAACACCUUCAGCAGCUCAUACCAACAAGCCACCACAAGAAAAUUCACAUUAAUCCUGAUUUGCUCGCAACUACUUCUGGAGAAUGGGAUUUUGUAGAGAAAACGGCUUGUGUUUGCUACAGACAACAGUAAAAUAAAUAAAAACAGUCACACAAAUUCAUUCCUCAACACCCACA